rnacentral:rRNA from 1 species
GACGUAGGGCGCGAGCGUUGUCCGGAUUUAUUGGGCGUAAAGAGCUCGUAGGCGGCUUGUCGCGUCGAAUGUGAAAUCUCAGGGCUCAACUCUGACAUUGCAUUCGAUACGGGCAGGCUAGAGUUCGGUAGGGGAGACUGGAAUUCCUGGUGUAGCGGUGAAAUGCGCAGAUAUCAGGAGGAACACCGGUGGCGAAGGCGGGACUCUGGGCCGAUACUGACGCUGAGGAGCGAAAGCGUGGGGAGCGAACAGG